AUUGAACGCUGGCGGCAGGCCUAACACAUGCAAGUCGAACGGUAACAGGAAGCAGCUUGCUGCUUUGCUGACGCGUGGCGGACGGGUGAGUAAUGUCUGGGAAACUGCCCGAUGGAGGGGGAUAACUACUGGAAACGGUAGCUAAUACCGCAUAACGUCGCAAGACCAAAGAGGGGGACCUUAGGGCCUCUUGCCAUCGGAUGUGCCCAGAUGGGAUUAGCUAGUAGGUGGGGUAACGGCUCACCUAGGCGACGGUCCCUAGCUGGUCUGAGAGGAUGACCAGCCACACUGGAACUGAGACACGGUCCAGACUCCUACGGGAGGCAGCAGUGGGGAAUAUUGCACAAUGGGCGGAAGCCUGAUGCAGCCAUGCCGCGUGUAUGAAGAAGGCCCUCGGGUUGUAAAGUACUUUCAGCGGGGAGGAAGGGAGUAAAGUUAAUACCUUUGCUCAUUGACGUUACCCGCAGAAGAAGCACCGGCUAACUCCGUG
rnacentral:rRNA from 1 species